UACAGAGGGUGCAAGCGUUAAUCGGAAUUACUGGGCGUAAAGCGUGCGUAGACGGUUAUGUAAGUCAGGUGUGAAAGCCCCGGGCUCAACCUGGGAAUUGCAUUUGAUACAGCACGUCUUGAGUCCGGAAGAGGUGGGUGGAAUUCCUAGUGUAGAGGUGAAAUUCGUAGAUAUUAGGAAGAACACCGGUGGCGAAGGCGGCCUUCUGGACAGUGACUGACGCUGAGACGCGAAAGCGUGGGGAGCAAACAGG
rnacentral:rRNA from 1 species